ensembl:lncRNA UXT-AS1 UXT antisense RNA 1
AAUCUCAUCCAACGCCCAUGCACCUGCAGGGAUCCUCCCUUGUGGCCCUCUCCCUGCUUGAAGUCCCACCCGAAAAGCUUGGGGACAUAGCAGCAGCUGCCUCGGUACAGAGGACUAAUAAAUUUUGUUUGAUGCUCUCUCUCCAUACUACAAUGCCUGGACCGAGAUUCCAGCUUUGGCCAUGGGGAGCUCCUUCAUGCUGGUUCCUGCAUCCUUCAGACAUGCCCUGUCCUUCUGUGAGCACUGUCUUACUUUCUGACCCCACAAGAUAUUUCAGGCUCAUCUUGUAGUUUCCCUGCUCCAGUCCUGGACUCAGCCACUUCUCCAAGAACCUCUGAUUCUUUUUCUUAGAGAAUGGUAUUGAGAAGCCAAGAUCUGGGGACUAAGUGUUCAACUUGUGUUCCACUGUUACUUUAAUGUAUCCCUGGAAUCCAAUCAAGAGAUAGAAACCACAUGGUAGUUUAAAUAGAGAAUGUUUAAUAUAACUAUUAACUAUAACAGGAGAUUGGAGAAAUGGGGGAUUGGCUAGUAAGAGGUAAGAAGAACCCUCACUGCUCCCAAAACAAAGGAGGAAUAUCAGAUUUAGGGAGUAGCCAUUGUCCCCAGUGCCUAAGAAAGAGGCCACUCUCCAUCUUUCCACCCCCUCUCAGAACCAGACCUCACUGGAAAGGGCUCCACUGUGACCUACUGGAUGGCAGAGAAGAUUGCUGGGGUGCUUUGGAAAUCUGCCCUCUGUAAUGCAGAAGGAAGCUGUCCAUGGGCAGGAGUCAUGCUUUGGAACUCACAGCAAAGUCACUAGAGGGCUGCCGGGGGAAGCUGUUCAUAGGGAUGUGCCACAUGCUGCUGGCCACUGGGCACUGCUGGCCACCUAGAGAUGCAUUGUGUAAGCCGCAGAUGCUGCAGGAGCCUGAUGAGGGGAGCUCAUGAGAACCAGGAAGAGAAAUCUCUUCCUCUUCCAAAGUCUUUCUAGUGCCCUCUACUGAUAAUUGGAACAUUUAGGUGAAUUCUUCUGUUUCCCAUGUUCUUCAGUGUCACUAUGCUAUUCAUUUUUAAUACAUGUAUGUUCAUUUGUUAGUUUAUAUGCCAUUUAGAGUUUCCCCCACAUCAUAGUCCAUUUUGAAUUUGAUUUUUUUAGGGUAUGUGAAACAGUAUGGUUCCAAGAGAAAAAGCUGCACAAAAGGUCCCUUCAAAGAAGUGCCACUUAUCUCAUCCCUACUAUCCUGUCCCUUUCCCACCAUCCCCUUAUAAGUAAGUAAUCUCUUUAGUUUCUAUUAUAGUUUAUUCACCUGUAUUUCUUUUGCACAAGUGAGCAGGUACAUGUAUGUCUUCUUAUAUCCCUUCUUUCUGUGAAGGAUAGCAUACAGUAGAUAUUCUUUAGAGCUUUGCUUUUUCACUUACAGAUAUGUCCUAGAAAUUUUUCUGUAUUAAUUCAUGAUAUUCCUCUUUUUAACAGU